rfam:Enterococcus hermanniensis strain DSM 17122 Scaffold1, whole genome shotgun sequence.
UCACAGCUACAACCGCGCAGAACAAGUUAUUAAGAACUUCGGUCACUUGGGAUGGCGAGUCUAAGUAUCUAU